CGAAUACGCGCGGACACCACUGAAGCCAUUAUGCCGUUGCAUCAUAUGAGCCAGCGCCGCGCGAUCCACAAAAAUCGCCAAAGAAGAGUUACCAAAAUACUUAGAAGGGAGGAUGAAGUGGAAGAACA
rnacentral:lncRNA from 1 species